rnacentral:rRNA from 1 species
CCUACGGGAGGCAGCAGUGAGGAAUAUUGGUCAAUGGACGAGAGUCUGAACCAGCCAAGUCGCGUGAAGGAUGACUGCCCUAUGGGUUGUAAACUUCUUUUAUAUGGGAAUAAAAUGUUCCACGUGUGGGAUUUUGUAUGUACCAUAUGAAUAAGGAUCGGCUAACUCCGUGCCAGCAGCCGCGGUAAUACGGAGGAUCCGAGCGUUAUCCGGAUUUAUUGGGGUUAAAGGGAGCGUAGGUGGAUGGUUAAGUCAGUUGUGAAAGUUUGCGGCUCAACCGUAAAAUUGCAGUUGAAACUGGCAGUCUUGAGUACAGUAGAGGUGGGCGGAAUUCGUGGUGUAGCGGUGAAAUGCUUAGAUAUCACGAAGAACUCCGAUUGCGAAGGCAGUUCACUGGACUGCAACUGACACUGAGGCUCGAAAGUGUGGGUAUCAAACAGGAUUAGAUACCCGAGUAGUC